rnacentral:rRNA from 1 species
UUCGGGGUCAGCGGCGGACGGGUGAGUAACGCGUGGGAACGUGCCUUCUGGUUCGGAAUAACCCUGGGAAACUAGGGCUAAUACCGGAUACGCCCUUUUGGGGAAAGGUUUACUGCCGGAAGAUCGGCCCGCGUCUGAUUAGCUAGUUGGUGGGGUAACGGCCUACCAAGGCGACGAUCAGUAGCUGGUCUGAGAGGAUGAUCAGCCACACUGGGACUGAGACACGGCCCAGACUCC